rnacentral:rRNA from 1 species
CCUACGGGAGGCAGCAGUGAGGAAUAUUGGUCAAUGCACGAGAGUCUGAACCAGCCAAGUAGCGUGAAGGAUGACUGCCCUAUGGGUUGUAAACUUCUUUUAUAUGGGAAUAAAAUGUUCCACGUGUGGGAUUUUGUAUGUACCAUAUGAAUAAGGAUCGGCUAACUCCGUGCCAGCAGCCGCGGUAAUACGGAGGAUCCGAGCUUUAUCCGGUGUUAUUGGGUUUAAAGGGAGCGUAGGUGGAUUGUUAAGUCAGUUGUGAAAGUUUGCGGCUCAACCGUAAAAUUGCAGUUGAAACUGGCAGUCUUGAGUACAGUAGAGGUGGGCGGAAUGCGUGGUGUAGCGGUGAAAUGCUUAGAUAUCACGAAGAACUCCGAUUGCGAAGGCAGUUCACUGGACUGCAACUGACACUGAGGCUCGAAAGUGUGGGUAUCAAACAGGAUUAGAUACCCUAGUAGUC